UGGACCACAUGUGACCAAAGGAUCAGCAAUC
rnacentral:piRNA from 1 species